rnacentral:rRNA from 1 species
ACGCUCGACACCUACGGGACAGCAGUGGGGAAUAUUGCACAAUGGGGGAAACCCUGAUGCAGCGACGCCGCGUGAGUGAAGAAGUAUUUCGGUAUGUAAAGCUCUAUCAGCAGGGAAGAAGAUGACGGUACCUGAGUAAGAAGCCCCGGCUAACUACGUGCCAGCAGCCGCGGUAAUCUGAGCGGGCUGGCAAGGC